rnacentral:rRNA from 1 species
UACGUAGGGUGCAAGCGUUGUCCGGAAUUAUUGGGCGUAAAGAGCUCGUAGGCGGUUUGUCGCGUCUGCUGUGAAAACCCGAGGCUCAACCUCGGGCCUGCAGUCGAUACGGGCAAACUAGAGUACUGCAGGGGAGACUGGAAUUCCUGGUGUAGCGGUGAAAUGCGCAGAUAUCAGGAGGAACACCGGUGGCGAAGGCGGGUCUCUGGGCAGUAACUGACGCUGGAGGAGCGAAAGCGUGGGGAGCGAACAGG